GCGGGUGUGCCAGAGUUGGUCAAAUGGGCAGGACUUAAGAUCCUGUGGCUUAGUGCCUGCGUAGGUUCGAACCCUAUCACCCGCA
rnacentral:tRNA from 1 species